rnacentral:lncRNA from 1 species
AGGGGAGUGGCUGGUGCCUGAGCAAGAAAAAGGAUGAUGCGAAACAGACUGAGAAGCCUUGAGGACAGAGAGGGUCGGCGGGGUGGCUGAGGCCCGGGUGCCGUUCAGAAUCCAGCUGCUUAGCGGCCAGUGGGUGGGGCGGACUGUCGACAGGAUUUACAGCUGGAUUACACGCCUUAUGUGCCCUGAGCUGUGGAAUUGUCAGAGUUCAGCCGUCUGUGCGUGGCUUUCUUUUGCUUGGCGGAGGUUCAGGAUCACAGAGUACUGCUGUCAUAAUUGAAUGUGUGUUUGUUUCUGGCCGAGAACCUCAAAAGAGGCUUUCACCUCAGUGAUGCCUUCUAGCCCCGGGCUGGAGCAUGGGGUGGUGUUGCGGUCUGUUUAGGGACAAAGAGGGUACAAAGGCUGGAGACACAAAACUAGGUCAGCCCUCAGAUACAGGGGCGGACACCCAGCGGCCUGCUAAGAGACAGGUCUCUCCCAGGUCUGCAGCGCCCAGGGUCUGAGUCCGGGCUCUGACGCUCUGAGAAGUAGCCCCGGUUCUUCAGUCCUCUGUGCUGGGGCCAGCCUGCUCCACCUCCAUGUUAGGGGUCACCCAGGGUCCGAAGCAGCCGCGCCUGCAACCUGACAGCCCCCAGAAGCAGGCCCAGGGAUGAUGGCACCUGCCCACCCCACCCACUGGCCUUUUGGUCCCCAUUUGAUGCCAUCCCACCUUGAGGAGUAGCUUUGUCCUCCUCCCAAUCUCUUUGAGACUUGUUUGCUCUUAGCCAGACUCGCCCAUAAGCCUGCUAAGGGAGAGAGGAAUUUUACCCCCGUAGCCUAUGAGGCCUCUUGGCAUACUGAUUACAAGUUCUGCCAAAACAUUGGGCAAGAAUCGAAAAAGCGCAUUUCUGUAUCUACUAGUCUAGAAAGGAAACUCAGUUAAAUAUGUCAGUUUCCUAGGAAGAAAAAUUAUCAAGUUCUUCAUCCAGGAAAAUACUGACUCUGAAUCUUGGACUCCGAAACGCUGAUAUAUUUUUUAUGAAAGGCAAAACAGAUCUAAGGCUCUCUCCUUCCUCCUCCCAACUCUCUCAUGAAAAAGGCAUCGGAUUGCGCUCUCUAAAUUUACAGCAAAUCUGCCUGCCUUGCCUUCCCCCCUGGAAGACAUGCUCAGAGCUUUAUUUCUUCGUACCUCUCAGAAAUGAAACUUCUUGCUAAGUUGCUUAAAACCUAGUAGAAGAAUAAGACCUGGUUGGGGAGAGGGAUUAUGAUAUAUUUAAGGGCAUGAUGAAGAGGUGACUCGAAGCAGGAACUUGGCUUCUCAGUGUCUUGGGCGGUUCCCAGCCUUCCACCCCCUCCACCCCCGGCGCCUGUGUAGAUGCUGUAGAUGUUCCUGCUGGAAACCUUUGGGAUUUCAUGGAUGAGGUCUAUGUAUUGCCUUUUGCCAAUGAAUGGACGUGUUUUUCCAAGCGGGAAAAAUGCCCUUGACUUUAGUCGCCUUCUUGUAUGUCUCUGGAAAAGGGCCAAAAGCUGUUAAUGAAAAUGAGGAUUGUGGGUAGAUAGAUUUACUUUGGUGACAAACCUUAAGACGCAUGCAUUAGCCAUGCCAUGCUUUUCAGAAGCAUGUGCCCUGUACCCUUGUACCUCAUCAGAGAUCUAAUCUUGGGGAAAGAGGAAAAGGAGCUAAUAGUUAUUAUUUAAACUCACUCUGUGCCAGACACUAUGCUGGGCAUUUUUCUGAUUGUCUUCUUGUCACAAUCAUCCUGGGAAGUCAGUCUGUUACCCCCACUUUCAAGUGGUGCAUCUUCAGUGUAGAAGGCGUCCAAUAUAAACACCCAUGGUGAAAGAAGGAACGAGGUCAUUCAAGCAUUCUCCAAUUUUUUAUCAUUUCUGUGCCCUUUGCAAUGCAACACUGUGAAAACAACCCCUUGGGGGCAUCUGUUCUUUUCCAGAACCUCUUCUUGGCUCAUCACCAGCUUGGUUUCCUCACAGGGAAUGCUUUAUUUGGUCUUCCCAUAUCUGAUGAGCUAUACACACACCACUGGCUAACAGGAUAUCAGAGCCCAGAAGGAAACGGCUUUGGGAUUUUAGGCACACAUCUUUCUCCUUGGAAUUCUUUCAGCAUCGGGAAGAGGAGCCUGGUAUCUGCAAUUAGGUAUCAGAUGUGGUUAGAAAAAGCUUUGAGGGCUCCGAUUUCUCUCCUGGGUCCCAAGGCUUGUUUCAUCCCAGGAUGCAUCUUUUUUAAGGUGAAAAAACUCUCACCUGGAGAGAACUUGAGGGGAAUCUGAUCUCCAAAAGUGGAGGAAAGGCAGUGCCCGGACCAUUCAUUUGAAAUCCUUUCUUGUGGGCUAGGGUUUUUGUGUCUCUUUUUAAUCUUAGGACUGGGGGCUCUGUAUUUUCCAGGCUAGUUUAAGCAUAGAAGCUAGAUAUGAAUCCCUUUCAAGACCUUAAAUGUUUUGGAUAGUCAUGUAGUGACUUGGAUAAGCAUUUAAAAAACUCGUUCCUCAGGAGUUCCCAUUGUGGCUCAGCAGAAACAACCCCAACUAGUAUCCAUAAGGAUGCAGGUUCGAUCCCUGGCCUCACUCAGUGGGUCAAGGAUCCGGCGCUGCCGUGAGCUGGGGUAUAGGUCACAGAUGCGGCUCAAAUCUAUCAUGGCUAUGGCUGUAGUUCUGAUUUGACCCCGAGCCUGGGAACUUCCAUGUGCCACACCUGCGGCCCUAAAAAGCAAAAAACAAAAACAAAACUGUUCCAAGGUCAGAAGAGCCCAAGAAUUCCCAAGUUCCUCUCCUUGCUUCUAAAGGCACCUGUAAAGAAGAUGAGUCAUGUCUCCAUAGCAACGUUAAAGGUGCUGCCUGGAGGGGACCAGCCUCCACCCUCACUUAUUUAACUUGAAAGAAUCAAGAAAAUUUCCUUGUGUCAAGGGGGUGCUAUACCCAGUUUUCUUAUGAAAACUGUCCCCGAGAUUCCCGCCUCUUUCUAACAUGUUAACUGUCCAUGCUUUCAAGAUCUUGUAGGAAAUGGUUUCUCUCUCGGAAGCUAGAGAAAUGGCUUUAAUUCAGCAAGACUCACCCCUAAACCGAAGGCCGCAUUCUAAUACCAUCUUCCCUCUCUACCCUGACUUCUGCCUGCUUUCCUUUCUAGGGGUUAUUUUUAGCCCGAGUCUUUACACUUGAUUGAGUACAGCCAAGAGGCAGUAAAAAGAACACCGGGAGCUCAACCAGAACCGCCUUCGGGUCCCUAGGGUGGAGAAUAGCUCCAGAGCCUUGGGGACCCCUGGAGUUAGACUCAGAGGUGGUAGAACAGCCCCUGGUUCCCCGGCCUUUCAGUCCAGAUCUUCAGGGACUGUUCUCCCUUGACAGUCAAGUGAGCAAGGAAGUUUUGGAAGAGAUUUUGAGCCAGCUUUUCCCUUCAGAGCAAGAUGCAAAGUCAUUUUUAAAUUUUUGUAUCUAUUUUCCUGGAGCAGAAUCAGGCAGCUGCCUUAUUAGGACUCUAAAUUUGGAUCAAUUUCCUAACACACACGCACACACCACAGAAAGAUACCAUGAAGAAGAAAAUAUAACUACUUCAUCAUUGAAGUACUUCAAGGAAGAGCUGCAUUUUGCCUUUUUGUAAUCCCUAAGAUAAAGCCGAGGAAGGGGCUGGUGUAAUUAUAAAAAUACCAUGGAGGAAGGGCUGAGCCAUCACGCUCAUGAACUCGCGGUUAGACUGAGAGAGGAGGAUGGAGGUCUGCCGGCCAUCCUGCCCUGCCCCCCCUCCCCCGUGCCAGGUGUUUCACUCCCCUGGGCACCAGCCUGGACCCUGCGGCUGGCAUCCUUCCCCAAUUCCAGGCGCAUGUAGAAUGCAUCCCUCAGGACACAGGCCAGAUGCGUGUCUCUUACACUCCCCUACUCUUCCAGGAUGGCCCUGCACUGCUGCGGCUCUCCUGGGAUGCGGGCAGUGGAGGCCCCUUCAUCGAGAUGGGCCCAGAUGUAGCAUUUUUAGCACUGCCUCCCCCAGUGUCGAGGACGCGUGCAUUCAGCAGAUGAUGUGGAGCCCCUAGGACCGUGCAGGCACUGAGCCAGUGGGACACGGUUGACCCCAGCCCGGCUCUUGUUCUCACAGAGCCAGCUGUUAGGAAGACAGUGUGGGAAGGGCCCCUGUAGGCGAUGACUGGGUGCUGUGGGAGCGUCUCAGAGGGGCAGCUCGGCUUUGGGAAUUGGGGGCUUCCUAAAGGGAGAAUGUUAAAGCCCAAGUUUGUCAGAGUCCUGAGCGGGAAGCAUUGCAAAGGGCCUUCCAGGCUCAGAGGACAGCGUGGGUCUUGGACCAAAGGAGGGACACUUGGGGCUGCCAGGGCCUGUGUCCCAUCUAGCAGCUGGAGCUGGGAAUGGAGGAGGUAGGAGAGGAGAGACCAGGGCAGUCAAUGGCCAUCCCGGGGGCCCCACGGUCUUGCUAUGGAUUCUGGGGGAGUAAUGACGAGCUGUAGGUGAUGCUCUGCCCUCCAAAACCACUGCUGAGGCCACCCAGAGAGGCAGGUGCGGCCACCAUCAGCACCCGGACUCCCCCCUGCGCCCCACCCCUGCUCUGCAGGUGCGUAGUGGCUUCCUGAGGUGAUUUAUUCCCUCUGCUUGUGUCCCAGCUCCAGGUCGCCUAAAGCUGUUUGAAUUCCAGGGCUUUGGCCUGGGCUGGCUUUAGAGACAUACUGGGAACAGCUCCGGGUCUCAUGACCUGUCUAUAGAGCCACCAAGGCUAAAAAUAGCUCUUGGGGGCAGGCUGGCCAAGCCCCAGAGUGAGGGUACACCCUCAGCUAAACACGGAGGAAGCAGCCGAGGGCUUCCAGGCUCAGCUGUGAUUCUUUCCUUCAAUCUAUCGCGAGGCGACCGCCCUUGGACAGCCUUUCCCUGCGCCGGGUCACACCUGGUGGCCAAGCCUCUGCUGUGUCUGCAGGGUACAGCCAUGUCCUGCCAUAGAAAAGGGAAUUUUUUAAAAAGCACAGAUGGAUUGUAUGCACGUGGAAAAUACCCACAAGCCUAGACAGCGGCAUUGAGCCUCGUGGGGCCAGGGAGGCUGUCGGGGCCCUGCGCUCUUUGGGUGAAGAUGCGGAGGAGGCUCAGAGACAGUGGAGUCUCUGUGCAGACAACCCGCAGUGCCUUUUAGGUUCUCCAAUGAACCUACUCAGAGCUCAGGGCAUUGGGUUUCUCUUCCCCUUGCCCCCAGACAAAUAAGUAGAAACUCUAUAAGAAGAAAAAGAAUCCGAUGAAUCGAGAACACUAGCUAUGAGGCAGCAUGGUUUCUAGCACCUCAAGAAAAGGCCCCAACGAGUAACACAGUUUCCUUGAGAAGUUGGAGGCACUGGGGGCUGAAGGCAGCUUUCCUAGCUGAGUGGCUCAGGUCUCCUGCCCGGGGAUCCCAAAGGGUCCUGAGUACCGCUUGGGGCUCACCUGUUCUUCAGGUCCCCCACACCUGCCCUCCUGGGUGCAGCCUGGCAUCUUCUCCAGCCUUCUGGACCCUUGGAAAGAUUGUAGCUCAAAGACUGUGCUUUUCCCAGACAUUCCUCUGGCUUCUCACUGAGGAAUUUCUAGUUCUGUGUCUUGUGGUUCCCACGCAAGUACCCCAUCAGCCUAGGCGUUUUGAUUAGAAUCUGGCCUGUGGCAGUCAUGAUGCUGGAAAUUGACCAACAUGUGGCCUCAGAUACACCGACUUUAAAACAAAGGCCCCAGAAGGUCCCCUUGGUGGGAGGUGUGGCCAUGGGAUGUGGCCAGGUUUGCCGUAGCGCCCCUGCUGCCCGCCCACCCCAGCGCGGUCUGGUCCAGUCCAGUUCCCUCUACCACCAGGAAUAGAUCAAAAUGCUUCCCUGCCAGGUGUCGGUGGCUACGUAUUUGCUCUCCAAGGGCAUUUGUGUUUAUUUAAGAUAAGGCCUUACAUUCAAUUAAAGUCUAGCGGAGGGAUUAGGAGGUGUCUGCUCCCAUUGGACCUGGGCGGGAGUCCUGAGGUGUUGCUCCUCUGAGCCCCCGCAGAGGCUGCCUCUGGUGGGCAGGGCAGCCGCCCCUGCACUCCCUCCGCACGUGUGUGCUUUCUGUCCAGUGAGCGCCCACCUGUCUAGACCGCAUACGCCUAUCAGCACACACCUUGUAAGAGGCGCCCUUCUGGGUGUCCAUUAUUUUAUUUACAGCAUAGAUUCCUGUACUCCUGCACUUAUAUAUUAGGCACAUUUUUUAAAGUACACGACAGAGAACUUUGUAAGGCAUAAAUACAAAAUACAAACAGGGGUUCUUGUAUUUUCUCGCUGAACCCCAGAAAGUGUGGAUGCUUCCUGGUAGGUGCACACCCAUUUUGGACACCACUAUUUUAAGAGCAAAUCAGCACACCUUGAUAGCAUCCAUCCCAAACCACUGUGAGCCUGUGGAAUAAGAAAGUAGAAUUCCCAGGCGCUUCUAACCUGGGAGCCAGGACAAGCAAACUCUCAAACAGCAUAAACGCAAACAAUUCAAAACCCCCAUCCAACAGGAGAGCUGUCUCUAGACAGCAGUGGCUGUAGGUACCAAGGGCAGAUCAGAUUCGCUGUACGGAGCCCCGGGGCUGCUCGGCUUCCCUCUCUGGGUCUCUAGAAAAGGACAGUUGGUAAUAGCCCCGGCGCACUCAUGAUUGGAAUUCUUUGAACCCUCAAAGUGCUUCCGCAGUACUAAUCCCCACGGCACCAGUGGGUCCACGUCGCUUGAAUAUUAUUUUUUAUUUGACCACCAAGAUGAGAUGAUGAUUCUGUUUCCUUUUGAAAACGGUCUGAGAAAGUGUACAGGUCUAAUUCUAUAUACAUAUUUAUACAUGUGUAUUUUUGUUUAUUGUUACAUUUUGACAUUGGACUUUCUAUUAAAUGAUUUUUAACAGU